rnacentral:lncRNA from 1 species
CCGCGAAGGGAGCGGGGCAGAGGCGGGAGCGGUGGCGCUCACUACCCCGGUGCUGUCCCGCACACACGGUCCCAACGAGGCUCUGGCGCCCCGGGAGCUGCCCCGCCCGGGGCUGCCGGAGGAUGUUCCGCUUUCCUAUGCCUCCGCAAACCCAGCACUGACGGUCCCAGGCGUUAUUUGCUCUAUUAACAGCCAUGCAGAAGCGGGACCUGCCUACGACACAAGCCACGGCACCAGUUCCUGGUAACAGGCCACGAGUGGGUAGUUUGGGGUAUCCCACGCUUGAUGCGACCCUCUCUGCCCGGCGAGAGCCCCCGGCUCCGGGAGUUUCCGAGCUGGCAGCCAGCGCUGUAAGAGCAGGAGCGGGUACAGGGCAGGGCAGAAGCCCUGGAGCCUCCUGACAGCCCCAUACGCAGCGAGGCUGAGCUGCCGGCCACGGCCAUCAUCCCUUCCCCUCCUAGCAGCAUCCCUAUAUUCUCCUUUGCCUUCACACUAAGAGUCUGGCGCCAGCGAUGGACAAGGCACACAGCAAAAGUUGUUGCUGCAGGGCAGUGAAAGGAUGCACUGGAAAACAUGAGGAUGUGUUCUGGCAGGACGAAGGAAGCAGAGCUCCAGAGGAGGAUGGGUAUUUACUUUCCAGAAGGAUGAGUGUUUACUUCCCAGCUACAUCAGGAAAGCAGUGCCCCAUGCAGACCGAUGCGCACAAAGCUAUGCAGGAGGCUUCAGGGAGUAAAGCAGAUACGAACAGUGGGCUCCUGUGCACUGGGUCUGCUUCCAUGGGUAGAGCCCCCACUCCAGAUGGAUUCGAGCCCUCGCUGCCACUUCACCCCUCUCCCUGUUGCAUCAUUUCCC